AAUUUUCAAAAUUUUACAUUUUCAUUUACCUGGAUUUUUUUCUACGCUUCGAAGCCGCCACCCUGUAUCAAACUUAUCCAACACCUCGCAUGGCGUAUUCACGAUGUGGAGGGAUUGACAAUAUACAAUCAAAGUUAGCAAUAUACAGCAAGUUGCCAGCAAGAUGAAAAGAACAAUGCAGUUCAAAAGUCAAAAUGUGGAUAAGCUGCGGUACAAGGUCCUACUUUUGCAGAUUUUCAUAUUUUGCAUGAAUGAAUUUGAAGUUUAUAUCAUGGAGGGCAGAGAAAGAAAAGAAACACUUCAGUUUUCCUGCUUCUGAAGGAUAAAUGUAAAACAUCUUGUUUGAAGGAUUGAAAUUCAUCACUGAGAAUAAAAGGAGAAAACACAGAAACAAGACCAAAAUAAAUUCAAAGACAAAAGUCAGAUCAGUUAUUAUUUUCAUCACUCAGCCAAUGAAUUGAAGUUCUAUUAAAUAUCUAAAGAUAUUAAAACCACAAUAAUGACAAUGUUCUGUGCUGAAUGGCAAAAAAGUGGACUAUACAUUACGACCACACAAUGCUGGAUGAUGAGAAACUAUUAAUUUUUUGGGUGGAGGGAUAUCCUGAAAAAAAAAUAGAUUUAUGUAAAAAGCUACUAGUAUGUUAAGCCUAUUAAAAGAGUUUUCAUUGAUUUCAAAUGGGAAAAAAUUGUGUUUCAAAAAAGUAUUCUAGAAUUCAUAAAUAAACAAAUAUUGAUACUUACAUUAUCUGCUUUGUUGUUUAAAAGUUUAGUUUUGAAC